GGGCGUAUAGCUCAGUUGGCUAGAGCGCAGUCCUGAUAAGACUGAGGUCCCAAGUUCGAGCCUUGGUACGCCCACCA
rnacentral:tRNA from 1 species